rnacentral:rRNA from 1 species
UACGGGGGGGGCAAGCGUUGUUCGGAAUUACUGGGCGUAAAGGGCUCGUAGGUGGCCAACUAAGUCGGACGUGAAAUCCCUCGGCUUAACCGGGGAACUGCGUCCGAUACUGGUUGGCUUGAGUUUGGGAGAGGGAUGCGGAAUUCCAGGUGUAGCGGUGAAAUGCGUAGAUAUCUGGAGGAACACCGGUGGCGAAGGCGGGUCUCUGGGCCGUAACUGACGCUGAGGAGCGAAAGCAUGGGGAGCGAACAGG